rnacentral:rRNA from 1 species
GAUGAACGCUGGCGGCAUGCCUAACACAUGCAAGUCGAACGAGACCUUCGGGUCUAGUGGCGCACGGGUGCGUAACGCGUGGGAACCUGCCUUUAGGUUCGGAAUAACUCAGAGAAAUUUGAGCUAAUACCGGAUAAUGUCUUCGGACCAAAGAUUUAUCGCCUUUAGAUGGGCCCGCGUUGGAUUAGCUAGUUGGUGGGGUAAAGGCCUACCAAGGCGACGAUCCAUAGCUGGUCUGAGAGGAUGAUCAGCCACACUGGGACUGAGACACGGCCCAGACUCCUACGGGAGGCAGCAGUGGGGAAUAUUGGACAAUGGGCGAAAGCCUGAUCCAGCAAUGCCGCGUGAGUGAUGAAGGCCUUCGG